UUUAUUUUCAUCAAUCUCUCAACAUAAAUCUGUCCCUCUUUUACUCUGUUUCCAAUACCACCUCUUUCCUUUUUAGCAUUAUUUUGUUAUCUAAUUGAGCGCAGCUUCUAUUUUGGUCGACCCAACAACACCAUGCCGAUGUAUUCCGUCUCAUUGCAAUCCUCACCUUACCCAAACUCCAAAUUUCCUCUUCAACUCUCCAAUUCCAACCUUUCCGUUACCCGAUUCUCUUUCAUUUUCAGCGACAAGCAUUUCCAUUUCGGGCGCCAUCAGCGUCUCCUACCCCUGCCUCGUGCUCUCCGCGAAUCACAGGACUACCAACAGGCUGUGAAGCGAGGAUCUCGCUGAAGCUCUCAGGUUUCAAGAAUCCUUUGACAGAGAGCGCAAUCGUACCCAUUAGUGAUCCGGCGGCUGCUGAUUCAGCUUCCUCCGCUCUUGGGAAUCCGCGGUUGUCUGGCCGGGAGAGGGACUGGGCGGUACUAGGCACUUGUUUGGAUGCUGAUGAUAUGAAACCUGUUGCCAAUGCUUAUGGGUUUCUCAGGGAUGGAGGGUUCUUGCACAAUUUUGGAAAAUGCAGGAACAUUGUGUCCAAGUUGAUCCAAAGAAGUGGGGUCUUUCAGGCAGCUUUCGUUAUGCUUUGAUUUCUUUUCUUGGUGGAGCAUCAUUUCUUCUCUUCCAGGACAUAGAUAUUAGGCCGAACCUGUUGGCACUGCUGGGGCUGCCAUUUUUGGACUCUAUCCUCCUUGGUAGUACUUGUCUCGCUCAAAUAUCAAGCUAUUGGCCACCAUAUAAGCGGUUGAGUCCUUGUACAUGAAGCUGGACGUGGCUGAUUGAUAUGCUCUACUAAUAUUGAAUCAUGUAGAACUCUGCUUACCUCGUGGGUAGCCCAAUUUGUGGAGUGAUUUUGGAUGCAAUUGUUUUGCUAUGGAAGUGGGGAUAUACAAGGGCAGUUGGCAGGAAAUUUGUGUUUUGGAAUGAAAAAAUGGGAAGCAACCCUGUGGAAGGACGUUUGGAUGGUAGUUUGUUUGUGAGGUGAUGACGUUAAUUAGUUCCCUCCUUUGGAGAAGGAUGCAAACAGUUCUCCAGUAUUUUUGCUAUUAUGGAACUAUAACUCUGAAUAAUAGCUGAAGUAGUGACAUUUACAUAAUAACUAGCAUGACUGCGUUCAGGUAAUGCAGGGUAGUUUUUGCGGGCAUUCCAGCUGAAGCUCUUGUUUGCGGGCAACACAUGAAAAAAGUGUAACCUUUUUUCUGAUACCUUGAUUACAGUUUUUUAUGUGUUGAACUCCUGGGGGAAUCGGGAGAGAAGAAGCGAAUUAUACAAGGUAGAAUCAGAUUCCCAGCAAGCAAACAAGCCGGGCUCCACCCAUCUCAGAUUAUUAAAGGUAGAAUCAGUUUGGUUUCAUCUUAGUCGUCCUUGAAGUUGGUCUUUUUAAGUCCCAACACUCCGUCCACGCCACUCAACAGCAUCUCCAGUUCUUGAUUCUCAAUAAUAAUAAUAAUAAACCAUAAACGGUCACUUUCAAGGACCAGAAAGAGAGGGUAAAGAAAAGGAAGAAGGGACUUAGGUAGGCUGCCCUGGGCAUGUGGAUUUCCUGGUCAUCAUUUUGUGCCUCUGCUGUGUAAUGCCACUACCGAAAAGCCCUAUGUUCAUUUACGAAUCACCUUAUACUUUA